AGUGUAGCUCAGCUGGAUAGAGUGCCGGACUCCGACUCCGGAGGUCGAGGGUUCGAAUCCCUUCACU
rnacentral:tRNA from 1 species